CCUACGGGGGGCUGCAGUGAGGAAUCUUGCGCAAUGGGGGAAACCCUGACGCAGCCAUGCCGCGUGAAUGAUGAAGGUCUUAGGAUUGUAAAAUUCUUUCAGCGGGGACGAUAAUGACGGUACCCGCAGAAGAAGCCCCGGCUAACUUCGUGCCAGCAGCCGCGGUAAUACGAAGGGGGCUAGCGUUGCUCGGAAUUACUGGGCGUAAAGGGCGCGUAGGCGGAUGUUUAAGUCAGAGGUAAAAGCCCAGGGCUCAACCUUGGAACUGCCUUUGAUACUGGACAUCUUGAGUACGGGAGAGGUGUGUGGAACUCCGAGUGUAGAGGUGAAAUUCGUAGAUAUUCGGAAGAACACCAGUGGCGAAGGCGACACACUGGCCCGUUACUGACGCUGAGGCGCGAAAGCGUGGGGAGCAAACAGGAUUAGAUACCCCUGUAGUC
rnacentral:rRNA from 1 species